rnacentral:rRNA from 1 species
UCGAUGGAUAGGGGUUCUGAGAGGAAGGUCCCCCACAUUGGAACUGAGACACGGUCCAAACUCCUACGGGAGGCAGCAGUGAGGAAUAUUGGUCAAUGGACGAGAGUCUGAACCAGCCAAGUAGCGUGAAGGAUGACUGCCCUAUGGGUUGUAAACUUCUUUUAUACGGGAAUAAAGUUAGGCACGUGUGCCUUUUUGUAUGUACCGUAUGAAUAAGGAUCGGCUAACUCCGUGCCAGCAGCCGCGGUAAUACGGAGGAUCCGAGCGUUAUCCGGAUUUAUUGGGUUUAAAGGGAGCGUAGGCGGAUUGUUAAGUCAGUUGUGAAAGUUUGCGGCUCAACCGUAAAAUUGCAGUUGAUACUGGGUGUCUUGAGUACAGUAGAGGCAGGCGGAAUUCGUGGUGUAGCGGUGAAAUGCUUAGAUAUCACGAAGAACUCCGAUUGCGAAGGCAGCUUGCUGGACUGUAACUGACGCUGAUGCUCGAAAGUGUGGGUAUCAAACAGGAUUAGAUACCCUGGUAGUCCACACAGUAAACGAUGAAUACUCGCUGUUUGCGAUAUACAGUAAGCGGCCAAGCGAAAGCGUUAAGUAUUCCACCUGGGGAGUACGCCGGCAACGGUGAAACUCAAAGGAAUUGACGGGGGCCCGCACAAGCGGAGGAACAUGUGGUUUAAUUCGAUGAUACGCGAGGAACCUUACCCGGGCUUAAAUUGCAAAUGAAUGUUCUGGAAACAGAUCAGCCGCAAGGCAUUUGUGAAGGUGCUGCAUGGUUGUCGUCAGCUCGUGCCGUGAGGUGUCGGCUUAAGUGCCAUAACGAGCGCAACCCUUAUCGAUAGUUACCAUCAGGUUAUGCUGGGGACUCUGUCGAGACUGCCGUCGUAAGAUGUGAGGAAGGUGGGGAUGACGUCAAAUCAGCACGGCCCUUACGUCCGGGGCUACACACGUGUUACAAUGGGGGGUACAGAAGGCAGCUACACGGUGACGUGAUGCUAAUCCCUAAAACCUCUCUCAGUUCGGAUUGGAGUCUGCAACCCGACUCCAUGAAGCUGGAUUCGCUAGUAAUCGCGCAUCAGCCACGGCGCGGUGAAUACGUUCCCGGGCCUUGUACACACCGCCCGUCAAGCCAUGAAAGCCGGGGGUACCUGAAGUGCGUAACCGCGAGGAGCGCCCUAGGGUAAAACUGGU